CCAGGACCCUGAGAUCAUGACCCGAGCCGAAGGCAGAGGCUUUAACCCACUGAGCCACCCGGGCGCCCCCCGACUACAUUUUAUAAGGAAUAGUGAACCUUCAAUACAUAUUUGCUGAAGGAAGGAAGGAAAGAGAAAAAGGCCAUUUCCGGAUGGGAUGGUCAUGGAAGAGUUCCUGAAAGAGGAGAUGUGAGCUCAGCCCCUGAGGACAGGUGAGAUUUAGAGGAAUGAGGAGAAGAUAAGCAACAUUCCAGACAAGGAAUAAAGCACAAACUUAGCAUGCUUCUUCGUGGCAGGUUAGAUAAACAUGUUCUCGGAUUGCUAAAAAUUAACCUUCCACAAUAGAUAAAUGCCAUGUAACCAGACAUGUGAACAUACACAUAGCAGAAAAUUAACAGCAUAUCUCUCCAAGAGGUAAUUUUGGGGCAAGAG